CAGGCUAUAUACCACAUAGCCCACAUACUUCUACCUAGAGAACCUCCUCUAAACUACCUUUUCCAGACCUAAUUGUUUUAUUUUUAAAUCCAUAAAUUUCUAUCACAAUUAAUUCUAAACAUGAUAUUAUAGACUUUGUUUCCCUCACACACACACAAAAAAUAUCUGUUUCCUUAAAAAUCUAAGCCUGCCUAUGGACAGAUACCAUGUUGGUUGGUAAGCAGCACCAUCAUGCCGGGACAUUGGGCAAAUGGGAAAAGGGCUGUGCAACCUGGUGGGAGGAGCAGAGAGAGAUGGGAAAAUCAGGACAAGGAAUGCUAAGGGUAUCACCAGGCGCACAGGCCUGGGCAGCAUCUGACCUCACCCUGGAAGGCUUAUCCACUAGUGUGGCCAAGAGAGCCUCAGAACUACACCCCGUGGGCAAGAAAGACAUCGCUUGUUUGUCCUCCUCUGCCUGCCUUCCCUUACUCUACAGCUUCAGACCCACUAAGCCAGAGGGCUCACAGAACAUGACCAAGAAAGGAAGUCAGGGACGGAUUUGUAAAACUAACAAUAAGCAAGCCCAGCAAUCAUCUGUGGAAACAUAGCAAGUGUCUGGAGUCUCAGGACCCUUAGAUGCUGCAGAGAUCUCCCUUCAACAGAAACUGAAUCUUCAGAGAAAAUACCAACACUUUAUUUGAGGAUGGAGAUUCACUUAUUCAAAGAACACACAGAUCCACAAAUGUUCACCCUGGCCAAUGGUCUCCUUGCUCCAGGGUGAGGCUAAAUAGCACCUAAAAUAGAGAUUCCCCAUUUCUACCUCCCAGAAACCCACCUACAGACUGAGGGUCCCAAGAGGGCAAGAAGAGAGGGUCCAGUCCCAGGAGUAACUCAGGAACGGAGUCCAAGGAUUCACACCUAAUCCUACAUGUGGGAGGAGGGGGUUACCUCAAGCUCAGACAGCUAUUCCUUAGAGAAGAGAAGGGAAGCUAGGACUCCUCAACCCUCCAGAAAGACCAGAGUCCUCUCAUACCUUAAGCUGGGGAAACAUAACUUGACAUGGGCUCUGGAGAGGACCUGCUCUAAGAGUAUGUGGGUCCCCCAGAAGGCCAGAGGUCCACCUCUGUGGACCAGCGCCCCAGCCUCCAAAAUGGCAUCUCUGGGUCCCUUUCCAGAAAAUAAAUUCAGUCUGUAUGUUCUUUUAUUCAAAUAGAAAUAUGGGAAAAAUUAGUUUAUUGUGAUUUUUUUUCCCUCAAUUUUCUUUGGAACCAAGAUUUGACCCCAGGAGCCAACUCAAGCAUCAUAUCCUGGAUGAAUCAUCCCCUUGCCCUGCAUACCUGGCUGCCAGCAUAGGACCUGGCUCAGUACAGGCAGUCAUCAAGUGUCUAUUACAUGAAUGAGUUGCCUGUGGGCUCCUGGAGCAGAGUGAAAUGCAAACUUUAUACUUGGUUAUAGGCGUAGCAUGUCUCAGAGUAACUUCUCUGUUUUGGUGUUUGACUUGGCAGUGCCCCCUUCCUAAUGGGCUGAAAGACAUGGCUUGUGUGUNNNNNNNNNNNNNNNNNNNNNNNNNNNNNNNNNNNNNNNNNNNNNNNNNNNNNNNNNNNNNNNNNNNNNNNNNNNNNNNNNNNNNNNNNNNNNNNNNNNUGGGCUGAAAGACAUGGCUUGUGUGUCCUCCUCUGCUGAAACACGGUCUACGACAUGGCUUUCUGCCUUCAGGCCCAAGGUCUGGAGUCUGGUCUGUGUGCUAAUGACUUACAACAGCAAAGCAGCCAAAUAGAUUUUGAAAGUGUUGUGUUCCCACCCACCUUCAACCAAGUAACAGGACAACCUUAAUUUCCUUGCUCCAAAAAGGGCAAGCUAAUGUAGGCAGAGUUGACUUCUCAAUGAGAAAUGAACACACUCUUUAUUUGUUGGCAACAAUGAGGUGGAGGACCUCCAGGGUCCAUGAGACUCUUGCCAUCAAUGCUCAUAUAGUAGAAGUCCCCUUGAUUGAAGUACACUAAGGACAGGGAGAUCAUAUCUAUUGAUUGGCAGAGCCUAACAAGUGAUUGUCCUACUGCUCAGAAAGAAUUGACAAAGGC
rnacentral:lncRNA from 1 species